rnacentral:lncRNA from 1 species
UCUCCUAGCCGUUAGACUCCAAAAAUUAGCCGUUAGAAAUUAUUUGGCUCUGUUAUGACACUGUGCAAAACUAGCCAUUGAGCUUCCAGCAGAUUUUGAGUCGGCUUAUGCAGACCUGGAGUCGGCUCGGCUGAGUCGGAAGUCGACUCAAGCUUGCUGAGGAGUCGACUCGAGCUCGAAAUCUUCACAACUGGAUUUCUGUCUUUCUCUGAGAGAGUCAACUCACGAACUAUUGGAAUCGGCUUGUCUACUGUUCAUCUAAAAGAUGUUUCUUUCUCUGAGAGAGUCGACUCACGGACUGUUGGCGUCAGCUUGUCUACUAUUCAUCUAAAAAUGAGCUUCUGUCUUUCUCUGUAGGAGUCGACUUAUGAACUACGAGAGUCGACUCAUGAACUAUUCUUCUGAAAUUGUGUUUCUAUCUUUCACUGAGGGAGUCGACUCAUGAACUGCGGGAGUCGACUCGUGAGCGUGCUAAGCGUGCCAUUUGGGAUUUUUUCGGACCAUAGUCGACUCAAAACUUUCAUGGGUCGACUCAAGGAGUGUUCAAAGGUACUUUGAGAAUCAGAACUCUUUCAAUUCAACUUUAAACUUUUUAAGAUUUGUCAUGAUGAAUUCUUAUGAUAUUUUUUCUGAAACGCUUAAUCAAAUUUAUUACUACAACAAGAUAUAUACUCAAGUGUUUUGUGUUCAUCAAAAUCAAAUAUAGGGUCAACAAUCUUUUCCUUUUUGAUGAUGACAAAACACUGAGUAUGGGCAAAUAAAUUUUCUUUAUACUAAGCAAUCUACUCAAUACUAAGCAAUCCAUACAAGUUUUGAUUAAGUAAGAGUAUGAUCAUUCAAAUGGUUAGCUCUAUUUUUGCUCCCCCUUUUUCUUGCAUUUGAUUAUCAUUAUUACUUCUUUCAGUUUACAUUUUGCUUUUGGUGUUAGUUCAUCAAUUUUGUGCAAUUGCCUCAUAUUACCAACUUUUCAGUUUUGUAGCUAAUCCCCAAAUAGUUUCAUUUGCUAUUCCUCCUUUUAGCUGAUACCAUUUCAUUUGCUCCAAAUUACUCAUUCUGAUACAAUUCUUCCCCUUUUUGUCAUUAUCAAAAAGAUUGCAAACACAUAAGCAACAUUUCAGUGAGAAUAUUUCAGAACAAUUCGUUCAUUCAAGAUUUCUUUUACAAAAUUUUGAUUUUAUGAACUUUCAUAGAAUCAUCACAAAGGUAAUAGAAGAUAGAAACGAGCAUGUCAUUACAGGAUAUGUCAAAAUGAAAGUUUCAUUACAUAAGUUUCAAUACAAAAGUUCAAUACAAGAGUUUUAAUGCAAAUAACUCUAAUCCUGAUCUGAAGAGUCAUCAACAGGGCUACUAAUCCUAGAAGGACGACCUCUAGAAUAGGCUCUAAGUGGUUUGUGUAGUCUGUGAAGAUGAUCCUGCACUCUGCUGAUCCAACUUGGUAACGAUCCUCUCCAAAGAAGUCAAGAUGCGCUAGAACCGCUUACCCUGGAUAAGAGUAAAAUCACCCAAAAUGGACUCGAGCCUCUGGAUGCCCUGCUUAAUCCUCCCCCCAGGAGUAGCCGUCUCUUUGGGGAACUCUGAUAUAUCAAUGUGAUCUGAAAUCGGGAGUCUCUCAGAGAUGGUCCUCAUCUCAUCCAGAAUUGACUUUAGCUGCUCGGACUGCCUCUGCUCAACUAGAGAUAUCCUCUCAGAUAGUCUGGAGAACUCUAUCUGGCUCCUGGCAGCCAUCUCUCCUGCAAUCAUGCUGGCUAUCUUCCUCAUCUGAUCAUCAUCCAAUCUCACUGAGGAUACAGCCUACUGACCUGCUGAUGUUGAAGCUGGGGUAGAAGGUGUUAGCCNNNNNNNNNNNNNNNNNNNNNNNNNNNNNNNNNNNNNNNNNNNNNNNNNNNAACAGAAGGUAUGGGCAUGUCUGAAGGUGAAGGUGAUUUGGGUGCAGUCUCAGGCUGUGCUCUACUAGGCUCACCUUCCUCCAGUGGAUGUUGCUCAAAUGCUCUCUGUUCCCAUCUUCCAUCCACUUUCCUAUAACUCAUCCUAUAUAGUGAUUUUGCAUUGUAGAUAUCAAUGUGAUAAAGUGAUCUUUUUGGCUCCCCCUCAGUAAUAGAAAUAUCGAACUCCCUGAAUAGUAAAGUGAGGACCAUUCCAUAAGAAAGACUAGCUUUGGCCUUAGUGGCUGCCUCACUCAUAUAACCCAUCAUCAUUCUUGGUAAAUUCAGUGGGUAGCCCUCUAUCACACAAUGCAUUACCAUAAGAUCUCUUUCUGAUACCAGAUCAAACCAUCCAAUCUUAGAAAAUAGGAUCCUCCCUAAAAUAUUGUGGAGAAGUCUCAUUUCGAUACUCAAUUGAUUUGCAUAAAUAGCUUCUAAGGGAUUUACUUCAUCCCUUCCUAAAAUCACUUUAAUUUCCAAAUCUCUAUCAGAAUGUGCCGUUGGAGCAGGACCCUCUCUAGGCAUUCUCAAAACUUGAGCAAUUAGUUGCUCAAUCACAGUAAUUUCUUUUUCUCUCAUAGAACAAACCAAUUCACCUGACCCUCUCUUCAAGGAACUAUAAAAAUUUCUUACCAGGUCAGGAUAGGUAGGUAGAUCUAGUGAGCAGAGAUAUUCCCAACCUAAUGCCUUUAGUUUUUCACCUAUUGAAAAUCCUUCUUGUUCAAAGAAUCGAAAAUCAAUCCUCCUACCUAUUGUCACCACUUUUCCGGCACAAGAUCUAACAAUCGUGGCAGAAGAUGAAGGAGAAAUAGGGAUUGAGGGUUCCCUACAGCUUGGCUCAUCAUUUCUACGCUUCGAUCUUCUUUCCUCAUGAGUUGGUUCAGUAGAUCUCCUCCUUUAGAAUGCUAAUUGCUUCCUAGGUCCCAUCCUCGCUAGAAUC